rnacentral:rRNA from 1 species
UACGGAGGGUGCAAGCGUUAUCCGGAUUCACUGGGUUUAAAGGGUGCGUAGGCGGGCAUUUAAGUCAGUGGUGAAAUACCUGAGCUUAACUUGGGAACUGCCAUUGAUACUAUUUGUCUUGAAUGUCGUGGAGGUUAGCGGAAUAUGUCAUGUAGCGGUGAAAUGCUUAGAUAUGACAUAGAACACUUAUUGCGAAGGCAGCUAACUACGCGAAUAUUGACGCUGAGGCACGAAAGCGUGGGGAUCAAACAGG